rnacentral:rRNA from 1 species
CAGUCGCCACGGUAAUACGAAGGGGGCUAGCGUUGCUCGGAAUGACUGGGCGUAAAGGGCGCGUAGGCGGCAUAUACAGUCAGGCGUGAAAUUCCCGGGCUUAACCUGGGGGCUGCGUUUGAUACGUAUGGGCUAGAGUGGGGAAGAGGGUCGUGGAAUUCCCAGUGUAGAGGUGAAAUUCGUAGAUAUUGGGAAGAACACCGGUGGCGAAGGCGGCGACCUGGUCCUUGACUGACGCUGAGGCGCGAAAGCGUGGGGAGCAAACAGGAUUAGAUACCCGUGUAGUCCCUGUCUCUUAUAC